UACUCUCGUGAGAGUUUGAUCCUGGCUCAGAUUGAACGCUGGCGGCGUGCUUAACACAUGCAAGUCGAACGAGAAAGGGACUUCGGUCCUGAGUAGAGUGGCGCACGGGUGAGUAACGCGUAGGUAAUCUACCUCUGCAUCUGGGAUAACACUUCGAAAGGGGUGCUAAUACCGGAUACACUUAUGGAUCGCAAGGUCUAUAAGGAAAGGAGACGAUCCGCAAGGAGUUUCUGUGUAGAGAUGAGCCUGCGUCCCAUUAGCUAGUUGGUAGGGUAAAGGCCUACCAAGGCGACGAUGGGUAGCGGGUCUGAGAGGAUGAUCCGCCACACUGGAACUGAAACACGGACCAGACUCCUACGGGAGGCAGCAGUGAGGAAUAUUGGACAAUGGGCGCAAGCCUGAUCCAGCGACGCCGCGUGAGUGAUGAAGGCCUUUGGGUCGUAAAGCUCUGUCAGCAGGGAAGAACGGCCGUGUGGUUAAUACCCAUGCGGAUUGACGGUACCUGCAGAGGAAGCACCGGCUAACUCCGUGCCAGCMGCCGCGGUAAUACACGAGAGUA
rnacentral:rRNA from 1 species